CUACGUGCCAGCAGCCGCGGUAAUACGGAAGGUCCGGGCGUUAUCCGGAUUUAUUGGGUUUAAAGGGAGCGUAGGCUGGAGAUUAAGUGUGUUGUGAAAUGUAGACGCUCAACGUCUGACUUGCAGCGCAUACUGGUUUCCUUGAGUACGCACAACGUUGGCGGAAUUCGUCGUGUAGCGGUGAAAUGCUUAGAUAUGACGAAGAACUCCGAUUGCGAAGGCAGCUGACGGGAGCGCAACUGACGCUGAAGCUCGAAGGUGCGGGUAUCGAACAGGAUUAGAUACCCUGGUAGUCCGCACAGUAAACGAUGGAUGCCCGCUGUUGGUGCCUGGUAUCAGCGGCUAAGCGAAAGCAUUAAGCAUCCCACCUGGGGAGUACGCCGGCAACGGUGAAACUCAAAGGAAUUGACGGGGGCCCGCACAAGCGGAGGAACAUGUGGUUUAAUUCGAUGAUACGCGAGGAACCUUACCCGGGCUUGAA
rnacentral:rRNA from 1 species